rnacentral:rRNA from 1 species
UACGUAGGGGGCGAGCGUUGUCCGGAUUUAUUGGGCGUAAAGAGCUCGUAGGCGGUUUGGCAAGUCGGGUGUGAAAACUCCGGGCUCAACCUGGAGACGCCACCUGAUACUGCUGUGGCUAGAGUCCGGUAGGGGAGCGUGGAAUUCCUGGUGUAGCGGUGAAAUGCGCAGAUAUCAGGAGGAACACCAGCGGCGAAGGCGGCGCUCUGGGCCGGAACUGACGCUGAGGAGCGAAAGCGUGGGUAGCAAACAGG